AGAAGGAUACUCCUGGCAGAGACAACAGCAGGUUCAAAGUGCAAAGGCCUUUGAGAGGAGCAUGGAAACAACAGCUGUAGUUCUGUCUUCAGUGCCAUGGGUUUUUCUGUGUAACUCUAGCUAUCCUGGAACUCACCAUGUAGACCAGAGGCAGGAUGUGACGUUGGAACUUGAGCAGCCAUGUUGGACCCAGUGUGAUAUGCCAAGGACUAAGAAAGGCCAUACCUAUUCACAAGGGAGCCUGACUGGCCCACAGGACCAGCAAGAUCCAUUUGAAGGCAGCAAGCAACAAGCUGGCCCCAUUCACAAACCCUGUCCUCCUUUGAAAACCAAUCGGCGCAUGAAGCGUGACUGGGUGGUGGCCAGCGUCGGCCCAUCUGUCACACCCUUUCAUAGAGCCCAGCAACAGCGGGCUUGGGAUGAGCCUGCCCCUUUCCCUUUGAGCCUCG
ensembl:lncRNA